GCCGAGGUAGCUCAAUAGGUAGAGCAAUGGACUGAAAAUCCAUGUGUCGGCAGUUCGAUUCUGUCCCUCGGCGCCA
rnacentral:tRNA from 1 species